rnacentral:rRNA from 1 species
GACGAACGCUGGCGGCGUGCUUAACACAUGCAAGUCGAACGAAGUGGCGAACGGGUGAGUAACGCGUAAUCAACCUGCCCUUCAGCGGGGGACAACAGUUGGACACGACUGCUCAUACCGCAUAAUGAAGGAGGGGAUUGCGUCUGAUUAGCUAGUUGGAGGGGUAACGGCCCACCAAGGCGAUGAUCAGGAGCCGGACUGUGGAGGUGGGUGGCCACGAGGGGGAUGGGGAACGGCCCAAACUUCUACGGGAGGGAGCAAGGGGGAAUCCUCCGGGAAGGACGGAAGGCUGGCGGAACAACGCCGCAGUGGUGGAGGCAGCCUUCGGGUUGUAAAGCUCUGUUUGUCGGGACGCGGUACCGAAAUAGAAAGCCACGGCUAACUACGUGCCAGCAGCCGCGGUAAUUC